GCCAGUGUAGUGUAGUGGUAUGAGUGUAGGACUAGGACUCUGCAGAUUGGGGGUCGAUUCCCCACUCAGCCA